rnacentral:lncRNA from 1 species
GUUUUUUGAAACUAGAAGACUGGAAAGAGUUAAUGCUAAUUGUUCUUUAGUGGUCGUGAGAAAUGUAAGCAGAGUGCAGGUCUUCUUAGAAAGGAACUCUAUUUUAGGAAACUGACUCAUUCAUGGGCAAAGACUAGAUCAUUCUUGCAAAGAAUGGAAAGAGUAAUACCAUUCUUUGCACAUGGCAGUAAUUUUGUCAUUUAGAGCCUUUGUUUAACAUUACAUGUUGGGCUUGGAUUUUAGUUGCAUAUUACCUGUAUUCUCAUUGCCUAUGUCAUUAUAUUUGGUAAAAAGUGUUCUUCUAUUGUGGGAUAUAUUCUUGUUUGACUUUUCCAUCUGAUUAGGAAACCUAUCCUUCCCCAACAUGCUCUUAACACCAUAGAUUUCUUCACAUUCUGUCCUCAAAGCUUACUCCUUUAUAGGUCUUUGUUUCAAGUCAUGAGUGGAAAGCCUGUCUGAACCCUAUGGGUCUCAUUUGGUGAGUGCUCCCUGCUGGCUCUUACCCACUAGAGUUCCCCUGUGUGUAUCUCCAGGCAGCCUGACAGCCCAAACAUCUGUCUGACUUCCCUAGACAGCAUUUUGUCACAUUUGAAUUGAAAUUAAGAGUGCUGUCAAUUCACUUAGUACAAACUCAGAGGAGCAGGAAGAAGGUUCAUCCAGAUUGAAUGGUUCUGAAUUUCCAUCUUAAAAACUACUGCUAGUACUUAAGCACACAAAUGUGAUUGAAUUGGUCUGGAU